rnacentral:lncRNA from 1 species
AUGCGAAUUUGUCGGCGGUGUGAAUCUUUGUCUGUCUCGUCGACGGAAGUUCCCGACACAUGCACCGGUGAGAAGAUGUUUUCGGGGCGAGGACAGACAGUGACUGAGCGAGCGAGCGGGCCGCCCGCCGUCUCCAGCGACCGCGGCGCGCCGCGGUCGCGGGAGACGCGCGACACGUGGGGCACGCCACAAACACCUUGCUCGCGCCUUCAACUGGGGUAUCCGGCAACCCGCACGGCACACACCGCGCUUCGGCUCUGGGACUUUUCCAGCCGACGCGCCACAGGCCACAGGCGGGAUUCACCCGUAGGACCGGUGGACUUCGUGGAAUUUUGUGGUCAUGUAUUCUCCCUAUCUACGAAACUCACUAAAACUUUCUAAGAUAUUGCUUGGAAAGUUUUCUGGUAAAAAAAAGUGAGAUGCGAUUGGAAAUUUGGCAAUGUUAGAUGUAGUUAAACUGUUCCUAGUUAAAUCCGUCCAUAUUAUUAGAAGCAAAGGCAACCAUCUUUUAUCCUUCACUAAGUCAAACGGACUUAGUCAGAAUUAAUGAGUCCUAUUUCUUUGACAAAAACAAAUUUCGGCUCUAUAUCUGAUAAAAGCAGUACGAGUUUAGAGAGGACAUGAACUCAAAACAAUUGUAAUACACUUAAAGUAAAACUACUCCCCAUAAAUGUUAGCAAAAUAUGGAAAACCCGUCACUUUUGUAAAUUUUUUUUUUAUCUUUGGUAAAACCCGCACAUGACAACCUACUUCGGAACAAAAUAAAUUUUUUGAAAGGCAAACACACGUCACGCAGUUAUACCCUAUGCAUUUUAUACCAAACACUUUUGGGAGGUUUAUAGAGUAACAAUUUAUAUACUUUUUAUGAUUCAACGAAAAACAAAUUGAUAGCGGUAACAGUGAAAAUGUUAAAGGUAGUUCCUACUUAGCUUCAACAUUUCGUCAUAUUUUUAAUGUCUAAAAUUCAUAAACUUAGCGCGCUCUGGUUUUUCUAGGAGUCGCCGCGAAAACGUAUCAAUUGCGGCAUGUGUGUUGGUUAUUUUACUGUGAAUUAAUUUAAGAACCGUUUCGACACGAACACAUGUAUCCAAAUAAUUUGAAAUCUUUGAAGUGCAUUAAAACUUAUGUCACAACUUUUAAUUGGCAAUUUACGAUCCGUUUAAACUUACUGGUCAAAGGAAGGAGCUACAUAGGAGGAAAACAAGAUGAUAAGCAUUAAAAUGUCAACUGUCAUACACCGCCGUUUUCAUGAGUUUACCAUGGAUGAUAAGGUAAAAUUAUUAGAGGAGUGGUAACGGUGAGCCAUGACCCACUGUUAAGCGUCAGACAGCGCACAAUGACUGUUUUUGUUACAUGUUUGCAUCAUCCCUAUUAAUCACAGUACAUCUU